rnacentral:rRNA from 1 species
UACGGAGGGAGCUAGCGUUGUUCGGAAUUACUGGGCGUAAAGCGCACGUAGGCGGCUUUUUAAGUCAGGGGUGAAAUCCCGGGGCUCAACCCCGGAACUGCCCUUGAAACUGGAGAGCUAGAAUCUUGGAGAGGCGAGUGGAAUUCCGAGUGUAGAGGUGAAAUUCGUAGAUAUUGGGUGGAACACCGGUGGCGAAAGCGGCUCACUGGCCCGGUUCUGACGCUGAGGCGCGAAAGCGUGGGGAGCAAACAGG